AGGAUGAACGCUGGCGGCGUGCCUAAGACAUGCAAGUCGAGUGGGUUUAGACCCACGGCGAACGGGUGAGUAAUACCUAGGAACUUUCUUUAAGUGGAGCAUAACCCAUAGAAAUGUGGGACAAUUCUCCAUGUGAUAGUAAUAUCAAAGCAGCAAUGCGCUUAAAGUGAGGCCUGGGCACCAUCAGCUAGUUGGCAGGGUAAUGGCCUACCAAGACUGUGAUCGAUA
rnacentral:rRNA from 1 species